UUCGCGUCGCCGGAAGUCUUUUCUUCUCCGUAAACCACGUGCGACCGGCACGAGGCAAGGCGAGUCCGUCGCCUAUGGACGAAAGCGGAACGCCUGCGACUGUGCUGUUUUCUGCUCCGUAUCAAAUCACCAGUUUUUUGGUUGUGACCAGCUUUCCCGUCGUCUUGCCGGACGGGUUGUAAUUGUUGUUGACUGUUGCUGUGCCGGCUGAAUUAUUGUUGCCGUGGGCCGCUGUUCUUGUGCCGAAUUUCUCGCUGUUACGCCGGUUUGGAUCUCGGUUGUAUGGGAGCGUGGAUACAGUCCAGAUCCGAAGAGUUUCGCCCGCUGUUGAUUGUUGUUCAUUGUUAAUACCAUAAAUAUUUUGACCUAGCUGGCAUCUGCUGUGCAGUUUGGAUAAGACAACAGGGGCCAACUGCCCGUUAGAAGCCCUUGUGUCAACAUUUCCUGUUUACCGAUUACAGGAACUACCCGUGAUAAAUUGUCAAUAAUUCUAGAUCUAGUAGAAAUACAUGAUAUUUUUAGUGCAUUAUGCAAAUGUACAAUAAUUGAAAAAAAGGCCAACUACUUGUGACAAAAUGGCAGUCUACAAUGAUAAACAAAAUAGAACACAGAUGCUAGAAAAAAUCCUAAAAAUAAAAUUAGGCACUUCAAGGGUAUUUUAUUAUUAUGAUAAAGUAUAGUAAUGUGAGUUUAAAUAUAGUAGGUAUAAAAAAUUAUAUUUUUAUAUUUUGUGGUGUGUCGGGAUUUGUUUAAUCAGUCAACUUGCCAAAUGUCGUUUUGUAGAAAACUACCUUAAACACACCGUACAUUUGGUAAUACUGUAUUGAGUUAAUCAUACCAGUGUGCGGUGUGCUUAAAAUAGUUUUCUUAAAAAAUCUACAAUGAAUUACUCGAACUUCAGUACAUGAGUCAACAAGCGUGUAACACUUACUUAAAAUUUUUUUUUUAAUUUUUGUAUUAUUGUUUGAAUAUUUUUUCACUUUGAGUGUCAAUACAAGUAUCUUAUAAUAUACUAGACUUAAAACUGUAUUCAUUUAAGAUACUAACAGUAUAUUACUAUACAAAUUUUGACAAACAUAAUUAUUAGCUUACCUAACAAAUUAUAAAUGUAGUUUUUAUAUUUACUUAUCUAUUAAUAUUUACUUGCCUUAAUACCAUUGAAAUAUUAAUUUAUUGUAUAAAUAUCUUGACUUAACUGUAAGAGUGAAAAUUUUGUAAACUGUUUUGAAAUUAUGUUGAUGAUGGUCGGGAAAAAAUGUGUAAUCAAAUUUUGAAUACCUAGAUUAAAAAAAACUGUAAAAUUUUUUUUUGCUAAAACAAUCAAAAUUGUACAAGUUGAUCAGUCAUUAUAUAUUUGUAAAUUUUGAUGUUUAGUUUAUAAAAUAUACUUUUUUUAACUAAAAAUUAUCUUUAUUUAAGUAUCAUAAAAAAUUGUUUUAUUUUAAUCAGUGUCAAUUCACUGAAUAAUAUAUCAUGUAUUAAAUAAUUGUAUAUUUCUAUAUAUUUUAUACUAUUUACCAGAUUA